rnacentral:rRNA from 1 species
GCGUGAGUGAUGAAGGCCUUCGGGUCGUAAAGCUCUGUCAGAGGGGAAGAACCUCCUGUCGGUUAAUAUCCGGCGGGCUUGACGGUACCCUCAAAGGAAGCACCGGCUAACUCCGUGCCAGCAGCCGCGGUAAUACGGAGGGUGCAAGCGUUGUUCGGAAUUAUUGGGCGUAAAGCGCGUGUAGGCGGUUCGCUAAGUCUGAUGUGAAAGCCCCGGGCUCAACCUGGGAAGUGCAUUGGAAACUGACGAACUUGAGUACGGGAGAGGAAGGUGGAAUUCCGAGUGUAGGGGUGAAAUCCGU